rnacentral:rRNA from 1 species
GAUGAACGCUGGCGGCGUGCCUAAUACAUGCAAGUCGAGCGAACAGACGAGGAGCUUGCUCCUCUUACGUUAGCGGCGGACGGGUGAGUAACACGUGGAUAACCUACCUAUAAGACUGGGAUACCUUCGGGAAACCGGAUCUAAUACCGGAUAAUAUAUUGAACCGCAUGGUUCAAUAGUGAAAGCCGGUUUUGCUGUCACUUAUAGAUGGAUCCGCGCCGCAUUAGCUAGUUGGUAAGGUAACGGCUUACCAAGGCAACGAUGCGUAGCCGACCUGAGAGGGUGAUCGGCCACACUGGAACUGAGACACGGUCCAGACUCCUACGGGAGGCAGCAGUAGGGAAUCUUCCGCAAUGGGCGAAAGCCUGACGGAGCAACGCCGCGUGAGUGAUGAAGGUCUUCGGAUCGUAAAACUCUGUUAGUAGGGAAGAACAAAUGUGUAAGUAACUAUGCACGUCUUGACGGUACCUAAUCAGAAAGCCACGGCUAACUACGUG